UGGACAAAUUAUUGUAUUCGGUUGUAUUCACAGUGUGAAACAGGGGGUUACACUAUUUUUAAACGGAAAGUGAAUUAAUUAACAUAAUAGACUCCU
rfam:Nicotiana sylvestris Nsyl_contig65998, whole genome shotgun sequence.